rnacentral:snoRNA from 1 species
UUUUCCUUUAAUUUGCUUCUCUGGAAAUGAUCUGAGCAGUUAGAUGGUUGGAAUAAAGUGACAUACGGCCUUUGUAAAUGUGGGUGAAGUGACCAUUUCAUCCCCAAUGCAUGGUCUACAACAUUU